rnacentral:rRNA from 1 species
CUCAGGAUGAACGCUAGCUACAGGCUUAACACAUGCAAGUCGAGGGGAAACGACAUCGAAAGCUUGCUUUUGAUGGGCGUCGACCGGCGCACGGGUGAGUAACGCGUAUCCAACCUGCCCACCACUUGGGGAUAACCUUGCGAAAGUAAGACUAAUACCCAAUGACGUCUCUAGAAGACAUCUGAAAGAGAUUAAAGAUUUAUCGGUGAUGGAUGGGGAUGCGUCUGAUUAGCUUGUUGCGGGGUAACGGCCCACCAAGGCGACGAUCAGUAGGGGUUCUGAGAGGAAGGUCCCCCACAUUGGAACUGAGACACGGGUCCAAACUCCUACGGGAGGCAGCAGUGAGGAAUAUUGGUCAAUGGGCGAGAGCCUGAACCAGCCAAGUAGCGUGCAGGAUGACGGCCCUAUGGGUUGUAAACUGCUUUUAUAAGGGAAUAAAGUGAGCCUCGUGAGGCUUUUUGCAUGUACCUUAUGAAUAAGGACCGGCUAAUUCCGUG